GACGAACGCUGGCGGCGUGCUUAACACAUGCAAGUCGAACGGAAAGGCCCUGCUUUUGUGGGGUGCUCGAGUGGCGAACGGGUGAGUAACACGUGAGUAACCUGCCCUUGACUUUGGGAUAACUUCAGGAAACUGGGGCUAAUACCGGAUAGGAGCUCCUGCUGCAUGGUGGGGGUUGGAAAGUUUCGGCGGUUGGGGCUGGACUCGCGGCUUAUCAGCUUGUUGGUGGGGUAGUGGCUUACCAAGGCUUUGACGGGUAGCCGGCCUGAGAGGGUGACCGGCGACAAUGGGACUGCGAGACGGACCAGACUCCUACGGUAGGCAGCAGUGGGGAAUAUUGCACAGUGAGCGGAAGCCUGAUGCAGCGACGCCGCGUGCGGGAUGACGGCCUUCGGGUUGUAAACCGCUUUCGCCUGUGACGAAGCGUGAGUGACGGUAAUGGGUAAAGAAGCACCGGCUAACUACGUG
rnacentral:rRNA from 1 species